GCUGGGAUUACAGGUGUGAACCACCAUGCUGGCCCCUACUAAAGCGUCUUAACUCUGUUGUGUAUAUACUGCUUAGAAUGAACAUAUUCUUUGGAGCAGGAGUUUGGGGGAUGUCUCACAGCUUCCUAAGCCAUGAAGACAGACACCAUUCCUUCCUUAGGCUGUGUUAUCCACCAGCCUCUUCUUGAUGAACAGGGAAGAUGAGAUACAACACUAGAAGAAAAAGGGAGUUCUGCCACAGACCUGCUGUUUGUCCAUCCUUCCGAGACUGGCUCUGGGAAUGCGUGGAUGCAUUUUGGCUUCAUGGUAAAUGGGUGUUGGAGGGAGAGGGUAGUGCAUUUAGAUUCCUGCUCUGCCACCUGUGAGUGGUGAGGCUUUGGGCAAACACCUGACCUUGUAGAGAUUCUGCUUUCUUACUUGUAAAAUACUUUCUUCGUAGGGAUGCUGUGAGAACAAAUGACAGGGGCCAUAAGGAUUCGGUGGAUGCUUGUUUCCUUCUUAGCACUUAGCACAGUCUAGUGAUUUUGUCUGUAUGCUUACUUUUCAUUCUCGGCCUCAUCUAUUAUACGAUAAGCCUGAGAAGAGCUGGGUCUUAUGCUCAUUGUUUUUUCCUGAGCCUAGUGCAGUGCCUGGCACAGAAUGAAUGGAUGAACGAGUGUGCAUUGAGUAACAUACGGUGAUAGUACAUUAGUUUGAGAUUCCAGCCUCUGAAUUUUAUCUCAUCUGAGUUCUGUUCUCCCUGAGCUGGAGUAAAUCACUUUUUCUCUGUCUCUAGACUGGUUUCCCCAACCUUUAGGUGAAGUAAAUUUAACCUCUUUCUUCUUAAUAGGAGUAUUCUUAGGACCUACUCGCUAACAUGUGCAAAGUACUUAGGGCUUCUCAGAUGAAAGUUUCUAUUGAGUAGAUACGAUUAGCCUCAGGGAGUUCCUUGAUUUUCCCCCAAAUACAGGAUACAUGGCAAGUGUGGCUUUUGCUUUCUCUGAGGAGAUCAGGAGACUUUGCAAUAGUGGAUCCCAUCUAGCAGUUGUUUAUUGAGAUAGGAAACUAACUCAUGUUUCUGAAAUGUAGCUUCCUUGAUCUGGUCUCUAUUUUAUGAUGUUUCAAAAGAGCUUAAUCACAUCCCUCCAUAUUUCUGUUUGUUGGCAACAGGAGUGCCCUGUUGCUAGGAAGUUCAUGUGGGCAUUCACCCUCCACAAUGUAGGUGCCAGACCCAAAGGGACAAAGGGAUGGGGACAACAUGUGGUAAGGAGGUUGUCUGGGGACUGCUUGCCCGUGGGUGGGCACACAGCCACUGGUGCCAUCACUGUGCCUCCUUGCAGCUGCUCAGGGGUUCCCGGAGCUGUGUGACCAUUGUCCUUAUGUGGCAGUCAGUACCCAAGGCCGGCUUCCUGCUGUGGCCAUGGCAGCAACAGUAGCCACAGCAUAGAGGAGAGGGGAUGUGGUAAAGGCCGGUGACAUGGCACUUAAACCAGACCUUCAGACAUUGGGAGAACGUUGACAGGUGGGCCUGAGGAAGAGCAGCUUUCUAACCAAAUGGUCUGAUGCAAACCAAAGCACAAAGUCGCAAUGAGGAUAGACUGCACCCAGGGCUUUGGUGAUGUGCCGUCAUGGUGAUGGCUGAUGAAGGCCAGAGAGAGCUGCUGUCUAAAGUGACAACAAAAACAGAGACACCCAACCAGAGGGUCUGUGAAACAGGAGGAGGCCGGCAGAGGGACACAGGGCGAUUGGAGAGGGAGUAACCUGGAGUUGGGAAGGCCAGGCACAAUUAGACCUGGAAUAUGCUGGUGGCAGUGGAAGAGGAAAGAAAAGGAUGACAUACUUUGAAGACCAUUGCAAACAAGACGUAACUUGUUCCCUGAGUAGACCUGCAGUGUGAAGCCAUGAGCUGAAUUACUAAUACAACAUGACAUUUGGGAGCCAACUUGUAGGCGAGAUGCCCUCCUCCAUCUACCUCUCAUUCAUUUAAAAAGGAUUAACUGAAGGCUCCCCUGAGGCUCUGGCCAGUGAUGUUCACAGACCUGAGGGUGGGAGCCAUCGAGAUGGAAGGCUGUCCUCCCUUACAACUCAUCUUGCAGAAACUUUACAGACAACUGUGUUCACUUUUCCAUAUUUGUUUUCAUUCUUCAUAACGUCUUGGUAUUUUGAUAUAUUUCAGGUUAAUGGAAUUCAAGAACAUAAAUUCAAGCAGGGACAAUAUAGAGAAAACACUACGAUCCCUAUGGAGCUGGUGAUUCCAGGACACUCCCUGAGGGAGCCAGGGAUGACCAUCUAUGGAUCUCAAAGUGGCAACAUUUGCAAACCAGGACCCAGGAGCCCAUUUAACAAAUGUCAGGGCAGCCUGAAGAGAGGAAUGGAAGGAAGAAACAUGCGUUCCACAUCUGGGAGUGUUUAGAAGUUGGAAACAGAUCAUUUAGAAGAAGACAGAGAAGAAUUCCCUUUACUUCUCAAUUAAUAAAUCAUUGCCACAUAAUUUAAUA